AGCGAAUCCUAAAAAGCCAGUCUCAGUUCGGAUUGCAGGCUGCAACUCGCCUGCAUGAAGUCGGAAUUGCUAGUAAUCGCGGAUCAGCAUGCCGCGGUGAAUACGUUCCCGGGUCUUGUACACACCGCCCGUCACACCACGAGAGUUUACAACACCCGAAGUCGGUGGGGUAACCGCAAGGAGCCAGCCGCCGAAGGUGGGGUAGAUGAUUGGGGUGAAGUCGUAACAAGGUAGCCGUAUCGGAAGGUGCGGCUGGAUCACCUCCUUU
rnacentral:rRNA from 1 species